CCUUAAAACACAACAAUAUUAAUAAUAUAGUGAAGAUGAAGGACAUAAGAAGUAUAUUAAAGGGGUUGAAACCAGACUUUCUAAUGGUGUUAGUACAGAUUGCAUAUGCUAUGCUAACUAUAUUAUACAAGCUCGCACUAAAUGAUGGAAUGAGCAUGAGAGUAGCCGCAACAUAUCGCCUCAUUUGUGCAUCCGCUUUCACUAUCCCAGUUGCUCUUAUCUUUGAUAGAAAGAAGAGAGCACAAAUUACUUGGAGUGUGCUUUCUAAAACAUUUCUAUGUGGAUUGUUUGGGUCUAAAAUCUGGCGUCCAUGCAGACAAACACACGAGUGAGGGCUUAACAUUCUAUGUCACUACACUUCAAAUUUUGUAGAGAUUCUCCCUUGAUUUGAAUUAAAAUUCAAAAUA